rfam:Papio anubis isolate 1X1155 chromosome 1, whole genome shotgun sequence.
ACCAUCCAGGACCUGCGGGACAACAUUCUUGGUGCCACCAUUGAGAACUCCAGGAUUGUCCUGCAGAUCGACAAU